rnacentral:sRNA from 1 species
ACCGGCUGCCCUCCUUGGGCGUUUCCUCCCUAGACUGGCCCGGUCUCGCUCGCGCGGGGCCGGGCCUUUUUUUUCCUGCU